AUUGUUUUUUUUUAAAUAUGUUAGUAGAUUUGUAUAUAUUCGUUUCUUCUUAAUAUUCUUGUUUCCUAAUUUCCUAUUUUCAGGUAUAAAAAACAUUUUAUUCUGACGGACCAGUUGUUAAGCUAUUUCUGUUUGUUGAAGAAUUAAAUAUAAAAGGUAAACAUUUUUUAUGUUUCAUAUUCUGAAAAGUGGAUGUCUACUUUAAACAUCUAUUUUAUAAUAAUUUCAUUGUUUUUGAUCUGCUUUGUUGUGAAAGAAAAGAAUUGAACAACUGGAUAUCUCAUAUUUUGAAUAUUUUUAUUUGCAUUGCUCUGUGGUACCAUGAUAAGGAGGGUCAAAACAGGCUGGAGGAGAUGAGAAGCAAUGGAUAUACGAUUACAUUGUAUCAUGAUAAGGAGGGUCAAAGCAGGCUGGAGGAGAUGGGAAGCAAUGGAUAUACUAUUACAUUGGUAACCCGCACAAAUGAUAUAAAGAAUUAUAUCCGUUAGCUUGUAUCUUAACAAAAUUAAUAUAUAUAAAUAACAAAUCUAUAUAGAACGUUAAAUUUACAUUUGCAUCACAUAGGAUUAGUUCCAAAGAUUCUCCAAUGUAUUUCAUGAAAUGUCUCCAUGUAUGAAUGAUCUUCACUUGAAUGCGACAUGCAGUCUUGCGUGGUU